AAUCUUCCGCAAUGGGCGAAAGCCUGACGGAGCAACGCCGCGUGAGUGAUGAAGGUCNNNGGAUCNUCACACUCUGUUGUUAGNGACNAACAAAUUUGUUAGUAACUGAACAAGUCUUGACGGUACCUAACCAGAACGCCACGGCUAACUACGUGCCAGCAGUCGCGGUAAUACGUAGGUGGCAAGCGUUAUCCGGAAUUAUUGGGCGUAAAGCGCGAGUAGGCGGUUUCUUAAGUCUGAUGUGAAAGUCCACGGCUCAACCGUGGAAGGUCAUUGGAAACUGGGGAACUUGAGUGCAGAAGAGGAGAGUGGAAUUCCAUGUGUAGCGGUGAAAUGCGCAGAGAUAUGGAGGAACACCAGUGGCGAAGGCGGCUCUCUGGUCUGUAACUGACGCUGAUGUGCGAAAGCGUGGGGAUCAAAC
rnacentral:rRNA from 1 species